ACAGAGACCCCAAUAUAAUUGUUUAGAAAUUUCCCAUCUGUAAGUCUCUAUGUCUGUUGAAAAUAAUAGAGAUUUAUUGUUUGAGAUCAGGUUUCCCCUAAUGCAGCAUGGUACACUGUUGGAGAAGAUUGGUAGGUUUUGCAAUUCAUAACAGUGUUCAUCUUUCUAGAAGCCUGAGGGUGUUGACAAUGGAAAGUUUUUCAGGGUGACUAAUGCUUUCUAUGAAUAAACUAGAUCCUUAAGUUGUCCUCUGAAGGCCUGAAAUCUUAACCCAAACCUCUUUUAGGAAAAUUAAGGUUUUCUUAAGGCCCACGCGGACACGUUGUUCUUAAAGACAGAUCUGAGAUCCAGAUUCCGUUAAAAUAUAUUGGGAAACUUCUACUUGCUGCGUCCCUUCCUAGAGGCUUUCCCGUCCCUCCUGUCACAGAGACAUCACUGCCAUGAUCUCCCCCAAUCAGAUGGUUAUGUUGACAUGCCCUUCCCCUGUUGCGCACUGAGACAUAUCACCCAUCGGCUACGGUUGUCGCGCUCUCUCUACCUAUCUGAAAAAUCACAGAGGACUUUUGCUGCCCCAGACCUCAGCAGGGAAAGAUCAACCCCUUCCUGUUGGACAGCCAUUUCAACCAGUGAAGCCACUUGAGUCGGGUGGAUCGUACUGAGAUUUCUCAGGGCCGAGUCUUUGGGAGUUGGAAGGCAACAGACACAAGAGUUCAAGAGUACAAUUUUAAUUUGAAGACAAAAAAAAAAGCCCCCCGAAACAAGCAAACAAACAAAAAAACCCCACCUCUGCAUGCUGAGGUGUGCCGUGCAACUGUUUUCCUAAGAAACACGUUUGGAGAGAGAGCCUGGGUUUUCUUCCAGACAGAGCUGAGUUCAAGUCUUCCGUGUCUCACACGCUAGAAGGUCGACCUCACGGUAUGUAACCUCCGAGCUGCAGCGUACUCACCUGGUUAGAUUGCUGCCCCUUUGGGAGUCACGAGUUACAGCGCGACAGGGUGCACAGAACAGCCUUCCCGGUGCUUGCAACACGUUUCCGCUCCAGGAACAUUGUCACCUUCCCUGUUACCUUUGUAAAAACCAUUACAAUUAGAAAAGAAAUACAGGAGAGAAAAACAAUCUGUGUACCUGACGUCACCACUAUAGCUAUCACCGUAACUGUAUAUUUACAAUAAACGUAUAUGUUUAUCUCCCA